rnacentral:rRNA from 1 species
UACGUAGGGUGCAAGCGUUGUCCGGAAUUAUUGGGCGUAAAGAGCUCGUAGGCGGUCUGUCGCGUCGGCUGUGAAAACCCGAGGCUCAACCUCGGGCCUGCAGUCGAUACGGGCAAACUAGAGUACUGCAGGGGAGACUGGAAUUCCUGGUGUAGCGGUGAAAUGCGCAGAUAUCAGGAGGAACACCGGUGGCGAAGGCGGGUCUCUGGGCAGUAACUGACGCUGAGGAGCGAAAGCCGGGGGAGCAAACAGG